UACGUAGGGGGCAAGCGUUGUCCGGAAUUAUUGGGCGUAAAGAGCUCGUAGGCGGUCUGUCGCGUCUGCUGUGAAAACUCGGGGCCUUAACCCCGGGCCUGCAGUGGGUACGGGCAGACUAGAGGUGCGGUAGGGGAGACUGGAAUUCCCGGUGUAGCGGUGAAAUGCGUAGAUAUCGGGAGGAACGACCUGUGGCGGAA
rnacentral:rRNA from 1 species